ensembl:lncRNA MUC20-OT1 MUC20 overlapping transcript
CACCGCUGCAAGAGGGGAAGUUGCUACUGUGAUGAAUUCUGCCAUGUGGCACCAGACUGCCACCCAGACCACAGUGUCCUCUGCAACCCUGCUUCUCAGAUGACCAAGAUGGUGCUGCAGAUGGUGCUGAGGAUGGAGAACCCACCAAGCCCCGCUAGGAGCCACCUAGACUGGAUGCAGAGCAUGCUUUCUCCUGGCUGCGAGUUGUCCCACAUUUGCUUGGCGUUGCCCGGCCUUUUCCAGACUGAACCAAUGUUCAUCUUACAUGUGUUGAUUGAUGUCUCAUGUCUCCCUAAAACGUAUGACCACCUUGGCACAUGUCGUCAGGACAUCCUGAGGCUGUGUCACGGGUGUGCAUCUUCAACCUUGGAACAAUAAACUUUCUAAAUUAAC